GGUCAGGUAGCUCAGUUGGUAGAGCAUCGGACUGAAAAUCCGAGUGUCGCCGGUUCGAUUCCGGCCCUGACCA
rfam:Blastopirellula marina DSM 3645 scf_1099463000751 genomic scaffold, whole genome shotgun sequence.